rnacentral:rRNA from 1 species
UACGAAGGGGGCUAGCGUUGUUCGGAAUCACUGGGCGUAAAGCGCACGCAGGCGGGUCGUUAAGUCAGGGGUGAAAUCCCGAGGCUCAACCUCGGAACUGCCUUUGAUACUGGCGACCUUUGAGUCCGGGAGAGGUGAGUGGAACUCCGAGUGUAGAGGUGAAAUUCGUAGAUAUUCGGAAGAACACCAGUGGCGAAGGCGGCUCACUGGCCCGGUACUGACGCUCAUGUGCGAAAGCGUGGGGAGCAAACAGG